rnacentral:rRNA from 1 species
UACGUAGGGUGCGAGCGUUGUCCGGAAUUAUUGGGCGUAAAGAGCUUGUAGGCGGUUUGUCGCGUCUGCUGUGAAAAUCCGGGGCUCAACCCCGGACUUGCAGUGGGUACGGGCAGACUAGAGUGUGGUAGGGGAGACUGGAAUUCCCGGUGUAGCGGUGAAAUGCGCAGAUAUCGGGAAGAACACCCGUGGCGAAGGCGGCUCUCUGGGACGGUACUGACGCUGAGACGCGAAAGCGUGGGGAGCGAACAGG